GUCUUGGUCUGUUACCCAGGCUGGAGUACAGUGGUGCAAUCUCAGCUCACUGCAACCUUUACCUCCUGGGUUCAAGCGAUUCUCCUGCCUCAGCCUCCCAAGUAGUUGGGAUUACAGGCAUAUGUCUGCUAAUUUUUUUUUUUAUUUUAUUUUAGUAGAGAUGGUGUUUAGUAGAGAUGGCCUCCUGGCCUCAAGUGAUGCACCCCCUUUAGCCUCCCAAAGUGCUGGGAUUACAGGCAUGAGCAACUUCACCUGGCUUCAUAAUUUAUUCUUAUGUAAUUUAUACGUUUUGUACUUACAUGAACUUUUAAACUUUUAACAACAUUUCAAUAUUUAAUAUGCUAUGAAAGUUAAAAUUUAAAAAAAUCAAAAUGCAUCCAUGCAGUUUAUCAGAUGUAAAUAUAGGAACUUGAAAAUGCAGUUAAUGCUUUUACAGAUUAUAAUCAAUUGUUGUUUUACCAGUUACUUUUAAUUUUAUAAAAUUUAAAGCUCAUGAAAGCCUAACAACAUAUAUUUGUCACAAAGUAGUUUUACUUAUUUUUCAAAGAAAUAGUAUGAAUGCAGAAAUGGAUUUCACUACAAAAGUGUCAAAUUUUUUUUCAGUAAUUGGAGUCAUAAGUCAUUUUUAGCCAUCUUACUCCCUUUGAAUUGGUGCUUUUAUGUUGCCUAAGAAUAUGUUGAUACAUUUUCAUUGCCUAAAUUUGGUUGAAGAAUGCUGCGUGUAUAAAGACAAGCUACCACCUGAAAUUCUCAGGUCAACAUUUAAAUUUAAAGGUCUUUUUUAUUGUUGGCUGUUGUGCUAAAUCUUAACCAUAUAGCAAAUCUGAAGUAGCAAUCCAAUCUAUAUUAAAAAACUAAAUAACACUUGAUAUGAUUUGGCUGUGUUGCCACCCAAAUCUUAUCUUGAAUUCUCAUGUAUUGUAGGAGGGACCCAGUGGGAGGUAAUUAAAUCAUGGGGGCAGGUUUUUCCCAUGCUGUUCUCAUGACGAAGUCUCACAAGAUCUGUGGGUUUUAAAAAUGGGACUUUCCCCUCACAAGCUCUCUCUCUGUUUGCCUGCUGCCAUCCAUGUAAGACGUGACUUGCUCUGCCUUGCCUUCCAUCAUGAUUGUGAGGACUCUCCAGCCACAUGCAACUGAUUCCAUGCUGCUGCUCCGCCAUGCUUCACACCAAUCAAUAAGAAGUGUUUCCAGCUGUAUCUACGAAAUGUCUCUCCAGAAUCACUGACAAUUCGGUUCACAUCAUAUGGCAAUUAGAUAAUUUUCUGAUGACUUUUAACUUACCUCCUCUCUUUUGACUUCUCCCUACACCAUAUCAGUGUCCAAAGUGUUGCCAAAACCACUUCGAAAAUGCACAUCUGUUUCUGUCUCUCCCUUAUAUUAUGCCUUCAAAUCAUGACUUCUUAAAAUGAUAUAAGGAAUUUUUACAGUUGGGUAAAAAAUUAAGUUGGAGCCUCCUUUAUAAUUGUUCCUGUACAUUUGCCAUCCCUCCAGACUUAAAGAAUAAAUUGAAGAACUUUGUACAGAAUAUUGACUUUCCUGUUGAUGUGCCAUCAUUUAGUACAGGAGAAACAACUCAGUGUAUACCUAUCUGCAAACUUUUCUAAUGAUAAUUUGUGCCUAUAGUCCUAUACUGAUGUGAAGUGUGAAAAAAUAUAUACCAGGAGAAACAAAGGAGAAUGGCACCAUAUAAUUGGUAGAUUUUCAUCCCAUAGUUUAUUUUCGUAUUUGCCUGCAAGGUCUUUUUUCAUACACUAAAUCAAGCCCUGCCUGUUUUGAAAUCAUCAUCGACACCCCUUCAAAGCACAGUUAAGUACACCUUCUCUGGUUUCACAUGACAAUCUGAUUGCACUGGAUUACAGUCAAAACUUUUGUGUCUGUCUGUGCAAUUUCUGAUGUCCUUAAGGGCAGGGACAAUGUUUUUCCCAAUUUUGUAUUGCCAGUGCCUAGCACAAUCCCUGACUUUUUGUAGAUAGAACUUUUUUCCACCAAUUGUAUAAUUUAAUGAAUCACACAUAUAGACUCUAAUGAUUACAUGAAUAUUAUUAAUUGAUACUCAAUGUUUGUGGUCUAAUAUUAUUUUUCUUGAAAUAAAUUAAGAUAUAUUUAAUAUAAUAAAAUUAAAACUACAAAAUAAAACAAACAUUUAUAACUUGAA
rnacentral:lncRNA from 1 species